UAGCAAUGAGCGGGAGAGAGCCAGCGCGCUGGCCGCCGAAGGAGCAACUGCCCCGGAAACUCUCAGGCACAGGGACCGCUACCUUGCU
rfam:Microvirga vignae strain BR3299 T20BR3299_1_(paired)_contig_137, whole genome shotgun sequence.